UUACCAAGCCAUAAAAGUGUGAAACUGUGGGCUGUUUAUCAGCUAUGAAGAUACUGAAAUGAACAGAGCAAAUCCAGUCCACUGUAGUAGCACAUCUGUGGGUACACACAAUCAAGCAUUCACCGCCAGGAUUCCAAAGUCUCGCAUCAACCAGACUGAGUCUCAGGAAUCAGGGUCACCAAAGUUCUACAAAGUGGUCAUUGUGUGUCUGGUGUUGCUGUUUGGCAUUCUGCUGGCUGGUCUUAUAGCUCUAACUUCAAAUAUAGAACAGACACUGUCUAUUUAAAGACCGACUAUGACCAGUGUAUUGAUGACCAGGACUAUCUGAACAGACGUUACUACAAUCUGACUAUAGAGAGAGACCAGCUGCAGGCUAGUGAAAAAGUCCAAAUUAUAAAAGUACAGACUUUAGAAAAGCUUCUUCUAACUGGUUGUAUCACAGGGUAUAGCAACUUUUCCUCUCAUCUUUAUUGUGCCUCUGCUGUGAUGCUGACGUGGAAUGAGAGCAGACAUAGUUGUGCUGAGAGAGGAGCUUAUCUUGUGAUCAUAAAUAGUUCAGAGGAGCAGGAAUUUGUGUCUAAUUUCCAAAUUAAUGUAUGGAUUGGCCUUAGUGAAAAUGCUGAGGGAGUGUGGAAAUGGGUGGACAACACUGAACUCAUCCAAGGGUGAUAUUUGACUUAAAUUUUAUUUUUAUUUUUUUUAAAAGUGCAAAUAUUUGGCACAUAAAAAUGUAAAGGAAAAAAAAAAGAAAAUCAAAUCUGAAUAUUAAAAUUGUUAGAAAUGUAUUGAAAUGUCUCCUAAUUAAAAACUGUUAUGUUCAGGUACUGGACAUAACAUAAUUUCUAUUGAAAUGUCUCCUAAUUAAAA